UUAAAAUAUUAAUGAAUAGUAAAUUUUUUUAACUAUAAAUAGCCAUGGGAGGGAAGGGUAUUUUGCACCAAGAAAAGAGGAAUCAAGUGAGAGCUUGAGAAAUAGAGAAGAAAGAGCUAGGGAGAAAUUUUUAGUUGCAAGAAGAGUAGAGGUUCUGAAGGGUUUCGGGGAAAUAAAUUCAGAUCAAGAGGAAUCUGGAAUAGAGAUGAAGGAAUGUCGCCUCACAUAGUGCCAAGGAAAGGGAGGAGUAGAAGAACUAUAAUUAGAAUCUUUUUACAUGUAUAGACUUAUAUUAACUAGGAAAUUUUAAAGGGUGAGAUUACGGAAUGUUACCGUAAAUGUAAUGUUAAUUAUCAAGUGUGAAAAUUUGGGAUGUUACAUUAAUGUAAAAAGUUGGGUUAUUACAUUAAUGUGAGAAUUUGGGAUGUUACACAAGUUGGGAGAGUUUAUUUUAUCAAUUGACACAAAAUAAGUGUUUUAUUUUUUAAUUACAAUUAUGUUGAAUUAAUAUCAAUUAGAGUUGAAAAAAUUAUAUAACAUAUACUUUUAGAUUAAACCUAUCACAUGAUGAGUGUAGAUAAUCUCUUAAACAGGUUAUUAUCACAUGAUCACAUGACAUGUGUAAUGAAUUUUGGACAUAUAUGAAUGUUGAUUUGGGUUUAAUGGGAGUUUGUUUUAAGUGUAGAGUUGUACAGCUAGGUUGUGAUUGAUGGAAAAAGAAAGAAGGAGCUAUAGAGUUGUGUAGUGUGGGAAGUAAACGUGGUAGGUCCAUUUUGUUCGCCAACUUGUGCUAUAACUCACCUCGGUUCAGACUAAGAGCACACAUUAUAAUGUUUGUAUAGUUUAUGAUUUUUUUUUCUUUUUUAUUAGUUAUUUAAAUUUUUUU
rnacentral:sRNA from 1 species